CAGUCACUUCUUGCCCAUGCGGUGAACUUUGUAGCCCAGUGGAUCAGUCGUCUAGGAGACGCUCAACCAUGAUGAAAUCUGAAUCUCCACCUCGUCUGUAACCUUCACUCGAGCAGCUGAGUAUUGCAGGACACCACCACCUGGCUGCGUUGACGACAUCUUGCUUUGGUUUUAGCACCACGAAUCUCAAUGCCCUUGCAGGUAUCGAGCUAGAAGACCUUAGGGCGGGUGCCUCUCUCAGGAGAAGUGCAAGCUUCUGUGUGGACACAGACGAAGAAGCUGACACUUCCAGGCCUUGAGGACCCCGUUCUGUUCUGUCAGGCAGCAGAGGACACACGGUCCUGACACUUUCAACACCCCCU